UCGUACCUUUUGCAUCAUGAUUUAGCAAGCACCUACAAGCAAAGAGACCUUUAGUUUGUUACCCCGAAACCAAGUGAGCUACCCCGAGACAGCCUUGUGGGCCAACCCGUCUCUGUGGCAAAAGAGUGGGAAGAUCUCCGGGUAGGGGUGAUAGACCUACCGAACUUGGUAAUAGCUGGUUGCCCGGGAAAUGAAUAGAAGUUCAGCCUCGUAAGCCCCUUUAUCAAAAGCAAAAGCUUAACUAGAAUAAAAGAAAAUUACGAGAGUUAGUUAAAGGGGGUACAGCCCAUUUAACCAAGGACACAACUUUACCAGAAGGAUAGGGAUUAUAAUACUUAAGACCUGUCGUUUCAGUGGGCCUAAAAGCAGCCACCUGUACAGAAAGCGUUAAAGCUCAAACGACAAAAAAUCUAUUAUUCAAAUAACAAAUCCUACUCCUCUAUAUUUACCAGGCCAUUCCAUGCCACCAUGGAAGAGAUUAUGCUAAAAUGAGUAACAAGAGAAUCCACUUCCUCCCCACACAAGUGUAAACCAGAUCGGACCAACCACUGGUAGUUACCGAACCCAAAAAUAGAGGGUAACAUAAACAACAAACUAAACAAGAAAAGCUUAUGCUUAAAAAUCGUUAACCCUACACUGGAGUGUGAAUAGGAAAGACUAAAAGAAAAGGAAGGAACUCGGCAAACACAAGCCUCGCCUGUUUACCAAAAACAUCGCCUCCUGCAAACUUCUAAGUAUAGGAGGUCCAGCCUGCCCAGUGACCACAAGUUCAACGGCCGCGGUAUUUUGACCGUGCAAAGGUAGCGCAAUCACUUGUCUUUUAAAUGAAGACCUGUAUGAAUGGCUAAACGAGGGCUUAACUGUCUCCCUUUCCAAGUCAGUGAAAUUGAUCUGCCCGUGCAGAAGCGGACAUAAAAAUACAAGACGAGAAGACCCUUUGGAGCUUUAGGUACAAGUCCAAACGUCAAGCAGUAAAUAGGCCUGAACCUAGUGGAAAUGAGACUUUACCUUCGGUUGGGGCGACCACGGAGAAAAACUUAUCCUCCGAGUGGACUGGGAAUCAGCCUAAAACCAAGAAAGACAUUUCUAAGUCACAGAAAAUCUGACCAAGCAUGAUCCGGACAAUAUAUCCGAUCAACGGACCAAGUUACCCUAGGGAUAACAGCGCAAUCCUCUCCCAGAGUCCAAUCGACGAGGGGGUUUACGACCUCGAUGUUGGAUCAGGA
rnacentral:rRNA from 1 species